AAGGUGCUAAGAAAUGAGAGAUUCAGGGAUAAGAUUAUUAUCACACUACCAGCCAAUGGUCAAAGAAAGGAAAUUGAUCUUAGCUAUGAACCUGGGGAAAGAGCAGCAUUAGGAACAACCACAAAUAUAACCUUUUGGGUGAAAAUGCUUGUAAGCUUUGCCGUUCUAAUCUUGACGUUGAUCAUCCUGAUAGGACUCCUGGAUAGAAGAACAUAUAGAUCUCAGUCAUCAAAUGCUCCAGCUGCUCCAAGCAUUGCAGCCCCUGGAACACCUGAUAGGAGCAAUCCUUCUGUUAUCACUGAACAAUCUCCGAGAACUCCACAACCUUUUAUAGAUUAUGUUAGAAGAACAGUAGAUGAAACACCAUAUUAUAGACGAGAAGGUAGGAGGAGGAUUAAUCCACAGAAUACUUUCUAGAUUCAGGGACAUUUCAUUUAACCAGUUUUAUUCUGUUUUGAUCUUCACUUCUGUAUCAUGUAUUAGACUAAGCAUGUUUAUUUGAGUGCUGAGAACCAGGCAGCUUGUUUUGAAAAUUUAUGUUGUAUCGCUAGGAUAUUAGACAGUUGCCAUCACUAUAUGAAGAAAGUAGUUGACUUUUAUGGUGAAAUCGUAUGCCAUCCAGCUAGGAUAUUUUUCUUGGUUACGGAUGAAAAUGGGCGAGAUUCAUGGUGGAUUCCGGUAACUUGAACCCGGUAAGGCCAUGAAUGGAAGAAACCAAACUUACCUCAGAUCUGAUGUUGGUUAAUAGAAAUAGCAAUUUAUUUGGCGCCA